UACAGAGGUGGCAAGCGUUGUUCGGAAUUACUGGGCGUAAAGGGCGCGUAGGCGGUCAGGUCAGUCCCGUGUGAAAUCCCUCGGCUCAACUGAGGAACUGCACGGGAAACUGCCUGGCUUGAGUUCGGGAGAGGGAAGCGGAAUUCCGGGUGUAGCGGUGAAAUGCGUAGAUAUUGGGAGGAACACCAGUGGCGAAGGCGACUCGCUGGACCGGUUCUGACGCUGAGGCGCGAAAGCGUGGGGAGCAAACAGG
rnacentral:rRNA from 1 species